GAACGGCAGCACAGAGGAGCUUGCUCCUUGGGUGGCGAGUGGCGGACGGGUGAGGAAUACAUCGGAAUCUACUUUUUCGUGGGGGAUAACGUAGGGAAACUUACGCUAAUACCGCAUACGACCUACGGGUGAAAGCAGGGGAUCUUCGGACCUUGCGCGAUUGAAUGAGCCGAUGUCGGAUUAGCUAGUUGGUGGGGUAACGGCCCACCAAGGCGACGAUCAGUAGCUGGUCUGAGAGGAUGAUCAGCCUCACUGGGACUGAGACACGGCCCAGACUCCUACGGGAGGCAGCAGUGGGGAAUAUUGGACAAUGGGCGCAAGCCUGAUCCAGCCAUGCCGCGUGGGUGAUGAAGGCCCUAGGGUUGUAAAGCCCUUUCGGCGGGGAAGAUAAUGACGGUACCCGCAGAAGAAGCCCCGGCUAACUUCGUG
rnacentral:rRNA from 1 species